rnacentral:tRNA from 1 species
GCCUCCGAGGAGUAGUGGUCAGCACGCUCUCCUCGUAUUCGAGAGGUCCGUGGUUCGAGUCCCGGCGAAGGCG